GGCCACUGCUAUUGGGAUCCGACUAAGCCAUGCGAGUCGAGAGGGUUCGGCCCUCGGCAGACUGCUCAGUAACACGUGGAUAAUCUACCCUUAGGUGGAGGAUACUCUCGGGAAACUGAGAAUAAUACUCCAUAGGUCUAGGAUGCUGGAAUGCACCUAGGUUGAAAGUUCCGGCGCCUAAGGACGAGUCUGCGGACUAUCAGGUAGUAGUCAGGGUAAAGACCUGACUAGCCUACGACGGAUACGGGUUGUGAGAGCAAUAGCCCGGAGACGAUAUCUGAGACACGAUAUCGGGCCCUACGGGGCGCAGCAGGCGCGAAAUCUUCACAAUGUGCGAAAGCACGAUGAGGGGAUCCCUAGUGUCGGCUCGUAAGAGUCAUCUGUUUCUUUGUCUAAAAAACAGAGAGAGUAAGAGCUGGGUAAGACGGGUGCCAGCCGCCGCGGUAAUACCUGCAGCUCAAGUGGUGGCCGCUAUUAUUGGGCCUAAAACGUCCGUAGCCGGUUUAGUAAAUGCCUGGGUAAAUUGUGUAGCUCAACUAUACGAAUACCGGGUAGACUGCUAAACUUGGAACCGGGAGAGGCUAGAGGUACUCCUAGGGUAGAGGUGAAAUUCUGUAAUCCUAGGGGGACCACCAGUGGCGAAGGCGUCUAGCUAGAACGGGUUUGACGGUGAGGGACGAAGCCCUGGGGCGCAAACCGGAUUAGAUACCCGGGUAGUCCAGGGUGUAAACGCUGCUCGCUUGAUGUUAGUCGGGCUCCGAGCCCAACUAGUGUCGGAGAGAAGUUGUUAAGCGAGCUGCCUGGGAAGUACGGUCGCAAGGCUGAAACUUAAAGGAAUUGGCGGGGGAGCACAGCAACGGGUGGAGCGUGCGGUUU
rnacentral:rRNA from 1 species